rnacentral:tmRNA from 1 species
GGGGUUGAAUUGGUUUAGACAGCACGGAAGUGGAAUCGUAAGCAUGUCGGGGGUUGUGACGCUGCCCCGUAAAUCCAGAUCACACUGCCUUAUAAACGGCAAUACUGAUUCUUAUAGGAUGGCUGCGUAGUCUUAGAGACUAUGCCUCAUCUGCUUCCCCGGUAGCUCUUUCUGGCGGCGACCGGUACGAAGCAUCGCAAAUGUCGGAAUAGGUUGUAUAUGGUCCCGAUGUACAACUGAAGCACAGGGAAUAAGGAAACGGUUGGAUUGCCUUUCUCCGGCCGAAUCUCGAAAAUUAAGCAAGGGAUACACAUGUAGAAAGCGUUUGUGCUACGCGUUUGGACGGCGGUUCGAGUCCGCCCAGCUCCACCA